rnacentral:sRNA from 1 species
AGCUCCUUCAUGUCCAGCCCUAGUCUAGGUAAUGUUGAUACAACAAUGAACAAGACAAACCAAAUCCUGUUCUAAUAGAACUAAAAUUCUGGGAAAAAAGGCAGUAUAUAAACUCCUAAUGCCACGUAGCCAGCCAUCAGGCUAUGAAGAAGAAAAUAUAAAGCAGGAAAAAUGAGUAGAGGAUGAAGGGGGAUGUUCAUAUGGGAUGGUCAAGGAAGGCCUCUCCUGUGAGGUGACAUUGGAAGGACAUCUUACUGGUAAAACAGUCAGACAGAUAUGAAACAGAGAAGAGUGUUGCAGGCAGAGGAGCAGUUGCAGAAGGUCUUGGACUGUUUUAGCUUGCUCCAGGGUGUGAGGAGGUCAUCCAGGAGGGUGUGCGUGGGAAGAAGUAGUUGGAAAGGAGGUCAGAGGGCCUGGCAUCAAUUCUUCCAGGGCUCUCAGAUUUCAUCCUGGGUGAAAAAGGAAGCCGUGUGUUUGUGUAUGUAUUGCAUGUAUUCACACACAGAAGAAACACUGAAGUAUAUACAACAGAAUUUUGAAAGUUGUUGUUGAAGCUAGGUAACCAUGGAAGAGAGUAUAGAUAACUGUUUCUCCUUUCUUUUCUCCACCUUCCACCACAUUAGCAGUAACCUAUUCUGAAUGUGAGAUUAUAAUUCCUAUGUAUCUCUUAAUAGUUUUAUGGUGUUUAUAUUUAUCAUUAAAACAAUAUGCAAUAUUA